ensembl:lncRNA
AUUUUUUUAUAAUUUAAAAUGUACUUCAAGAAGUUAAAUACUUAGUUGAUUGUUUUUUAGCAGUUUCAUUCAUUUAAAUAAGUAAACAAUCUUGCAUUAUAGUCUUAAAAGUUCCUCCGGAACACAAUACAGAUUACAGCUGGCAUUUUGAGUUGCAUCUUAAGGUACGGCCACAUUUUAACAAUGCUUUAUUUCUAAUAUUUAGAAUCAACAAGAAAGCUACGCCCCGUCCAGAAAGUAACGGUUUGUAUUUCUCUUAUCAAUACUGUGUAAUAUUUACUGUGCAUAUAUAUAUGAAACUAUAUAUAUAUGUGUAUAUUGUAUGUGAUUAAUGUGGCCGGGAUUAAUGCGAUAACAUUUUCUAACGCAGUUAACGCUUCACACCGGCGAGCUGAGUGGGCGGAGCCUAAUUCUCCCAGAACGGACGUUGUUUGUACAACAGAACAAGAAGGAUCUGUGUACGAGAACACGAAAAACAUAUAUGAAAACUGAAAACUCAACAAUCGUCUAUUGCUUAAAAAGGUGAGUUUUUUUAAUUUAUUAAUCUGAUGUGGUAAAAAAUAGAUGAUUGGAUUUUAUAGGAAAAUACACCUAGAAUGUUGUUAUGGAACUAUUUUAACACAGCUUAUAUAAGGAAAUGACAGCAUGAAACACUCACUGAACUCUUGGAACAUACAGUUGAUCAGAGCCAAAACACCACAAGUAACAUUUCCCUCUUUUUCACUUAUUGUCCUGCAGGCUACUUAAAAGACGAAGAGCUCCACAACAAGACGACACAUUUAUCAGACACAACAUAAUUAUUACCUUAUUCAUCUCAACAGUUAAUGUGUUAGUAAGGAUUUCUUAAUCCUCUAAUAGACAGAAAACGUGGUAUUUCCGCUGCAUUUACUGUCAAAAGCCAUUCCAAUUUUCACUGUCCAUUAAUGUAGUGAGUCUUUACCAGAGCUUUGUUGCUGAGAACUACAUCAGGGCCCCGUUCCUCGUACGUGGCUGACAGUAGUGGUGUAGUCUACGUGAUACGCAGGUCUACGCCGUAUAGCCACUAACAAAAGCUCGAUGAUACGUAACAACAUCGCUGUGACAGAACGUUGUAACCUCUCAUUCAGAAAUUCAGCCCGUCUGUGUUGUGAAGCACUUUGGAUCUUUGGGGCUUCCGUGCCCUCCAUCUGACGCAACGUCAUUACUAAGCAACAACACGUUGUUU